AUGGCAGAGCUGAAGCAUAAGCCGUUCGAACAAGUGCGGCGCGCCAUAAUGAAGAUUCUUAAAUUGAAUGAAGCAACGCAUGAACUCAAUUUGCAUCACAUUUUGUGUGUAAGGACGGUUCCCUCGGCUGCUCCCUACCAUGUGCUCACUGACAUUAUAGGGGAGGCGUCUUGGAUGGCAUUUUUGAAAGUGUCACUCCUUCAAGUUCGUGCUUUCAGACUGUUGGCCUGCUGGACCGUCAAGAAAAGGGACUCUGUUCCAAAUGCAUCUGACAGCAAUAACACAACAGUUCCAGACGAAGGAUAUGAAUCCGAUGAUGGGACCUGGCCAAAUUGCAAGCACGAUAGACCAUGCACCAUCGAAACCUCAUGGCGCACCGAAGACCCAGGACGAAGGUUCUUCCCCUGCCCUCUCUUCAUGCAUUCGGGAGAAGACUGCAAGUUCAGCAAAUGGUUGGACAAGAAGUUCCCUGAGAAUGCAAUCAAAGUCAUCAACAGACUCCAGGACGACGUUGAAUCCCUCCAGCUGCAAGUCGAUAACAUGAAGUGUGAGCUUGAGGAACUCCGUCACCGUCAGAGCAAAAGAGCUACCGGAGAAGCUGUUGCAAGUGAUGGAGACAGGUGCCCCUGUGGCAGCAGCCCUUGCCACUUGGCCUGUCGCAACCGAAGCAAACCUCCUAGAGUGGCCAGGGACAAUUAG
rnacentral:rRNA from 1 species